GACGAACGCUGGCGGCGUGCUUAACACAUGCAAGUCGAACGGUAAGGCCCUUCGGGGUACACGAGUGGCGAACGGGUGAGUAACACGUGGGUGAUCUGCCCUGCACUUCGGGAUAAGCCUGGGAAACUGGGUCUAAUACCGGAUAGGACCACUGCCUGCAUGGGUGUGUGGUGGAAAGCUUUUGCGGUGUGGGAUGGGCCCGCGGGCUAUCAGCUUGUUGGUGGGGUAAUGGCCUACCAAGGCGACGACGGGUAGCCGGCCUGAGAGGGUGACCGGCCACACUGGGACUGAGAUACGGCCCAGACUCCUACGGGAGGCAGCAGUGGGGAAUAUUGCACAAUGGGCGCAAGCCUGAUGCGGCGACGCCGCGUGAGGGAUGACGGCCUUCGGGUUGUAAACCUCUUUCAGUAGGGACGAAGCGCAAGUGACGGUACCUACAGAAGAAGGACCGGCCAACUACGUGCCAGCCGCCGCUGUAA
rnacentral:rRNA from 1 species